CCGUUGUACACACCGCCCGUCACACCAUGGGAGUGGGGUGAACCAGAAGUAGGUAGGCUAACCGCAAGGGGCCGCUUACCACGGUCUGCUUCAUGACUGGGGUG
rnacentral:rRNA from 1 species